CCUACGGGAGGCAGCAGUGGGGGAUAUUGCACAAUGGGGGCAACCCUGAUGCAGCGACGCCGCGUGAGCGAUGGAGUACUUCGGUAUGUAAAGCUCUGUCAGCAGGGAAGAGAAUGACGGUACCUGACCAAGAAGCCCCGGCUAAAUACGUGCCAGCAGACGCGGUAAUACGUAUGGGGCCAGCGUUAUCCGGAUUUACUGGGGGUAAAGGGAGCGUAGGCGGGAGGGCAAGCCUGAUGUGAAAGCCCGGGGGGCAAACCCGGGAGUGCAUUGGGAACUGCCGCGCUCGAGUGCCGGAGGGGGAGGGGGAAUGCCUAGGGGAGCGGGGGAAUGCGGAGAUAAUAGGAGGGACACCAGUGGCGAAGGGGGCCUGCUGGACGGUGUACUGACGCUGAGGCUCGAAAGCGUGGGGAGCAAACAGGAUUAGAUACCCCAGUAGUC
rnacentral:rRNA from 1 species